CCUACGGGAGGCAGCAGUGAGGAAUAUUGCGCAAUGGGGGCAACCCUGACGCAGCGACGCCGCGUGAGUGAGGAAGGCCUUCGGGUCGUAAAGCUCUGUCAAAGGGAAAGAAGUGCAUGAUGGUUAAUACCUGUCAUGUUUGACGGUACCCUUAAAGGGAGCACCGGCUAACUCCGUGCCAGCAGCCGCGGUAAUA
rnacentral:rRNA from 1 species